rnacentral:rRNA from 1 species
GGGGUAUUGCACCUACCGAAGACUAUCAAACUCCGAAUGCCGUCAUCUUAUACUUGGGAGUCAGACUGUGGGUGAUAAGAUUCAUAGUCGAAAGGGCAACAGCCCAGAUCGUCAGCUAAGGGCCCUAAAUGUAAGUUAAGUGGUAAAGGAUGUGGGAUUGCACAGACAACCAGGAUGUUGGCUUAGAAGCAGCCACUCAUUCAAAGAGUGCGUAAUAGCUCACUGGUCGAGUGAUCCUGCGCCGAAGAU